AGAGUUUGAUCAUGGCUCAGGAUGAACGCUGGCGGCGUGCCUAAUACAUGCAAGUCGAGCGAACAGAUAAGGAGCUUGCUCCUUUGACGUUAGCGGCGGACGGGUGAGUAACACGUGGAUAACCUACCUAUAAGACUGGGAUAACUUCGGGAAACCGGAGCUAAUACCGGAUAACAUAUUGAACCGCAUGGUUCAAUAGUGAAAGGCGGCUUUGCUGUCACUUAUAGAUGGAUCCGCGCCGUAUUAGCUAGUUGGUAAGGUAACGGCUUACCAAGGCAACGAUACGUAGCCGACCUGAGAGGGUGAUCGGCCACACUGGAACUGAGACACGGUCCAGACUCCUACGGGAGGCAGCAGUAGGGAAUCUUCCGCAAUGGGCGAAAGCCUGACGGAGCAACGCCGCGUGAGUGAUGAAGGUCUUCGGAUCGUAAAACUCUGUUAUCAGGGAAGAACAAAUGUGUAAGUAACUGUGCACAUCUUGACGGUACCUGAUCAGAAAGCCACGGCUAACUACGUGCCAGCAGCCGCGGUAAUACGUAGGUGGCAAGCGUUAUCCGGAAUUAUUGGGCGUAAAGCGCGCGUAGGCGGUUUUUUAAGUCUGAUGUGAAAGCCCACGGCUCAACCGUGGAGGGUCAUUGGAAACUGGAAAACUUGAGUGCAGAAGAGGAAAGUGGAAUUCCAUGUGUAGCGGUGAAAUGCGCAGAGAUAUGGAGGAACACCAGUGGCGAAGGCGACUUUCUGGUCUGUAACUGACGCUGAUGUGCGAAAGCGUGGGGAUCAAACAGGAUUAGAUACCCUGGUAGUCCACGCCGUAAACGAUGAGUGCUAAGUGUUAGGGGGUUUCCGCCCCUUAGUGCUGCAGCUAACGCAUUAAGCACUCCGCCUGGGGAGUACGACCGCAAGGUUGAAACUCAAAGGAAUUGACGGGGGCCCGCACAAG
rnacentral:rRNA from 1 species